rnacentral:rRNA from 1 species
UACAGCGGGUGCGAGCGUUAAUCGGAAUUACUGGGCGUAAAGCGCACGUAGGUGGCGACGUAAGUCGGGUGUGAAAGCCCCGGGCUCAACCUGGGAAUUGCAUUCGAGACUGCAUUGCUGGAGUACGGAAGAGGAGGGCGGAAUUCCCGGUGGAGCGGUGAAAUGCGUAGAUAUCGGGAGGAACAUCAGUGGCGAAGGCGGCCCUCUGGUCCAGUGCUGACACUCAAGUGCGAAAGCGUGGGGAUCAACCAGG